AUUGAACGCUGGCGGUAGGCCUAACACAUGCCAGUCGAACGGCAGCACAGUAUGAGCUUGCUCUUCCGGGUGGCGAGUGGCGGACGGGUGAUGAAUACAUCCGAAUCUACUUUUUCUUGGGGGAUAACGUAGGGAAACUUACGCUAAUCCCCCAUACGACCUACGGGUGAAACCAGGGGAUCUUCGGCCCUUGCGCGGUUGAAUGAGCCGAUGUCGGAUUAGCUAGUUGGCGGGGUAAAGGCCCACCAAGGCGACGAUCCGUAGCUGGUCUGAGAGGAUGAUCAGCCACACUGGAACUGAGACACGGUCCAGACUCCUACGGGAGGCAGCAGUGGGGAAUAUUGGACAAUGGGCGCAAGCCUGAUCCAGCCAUACCGCGUGGGUGAAGAAGGCCUUCGGGUUGUAAAGCCCUUUUGUUGGGAAAGAAAAGCAGCAGGUUAAUACCCCGCUGUUCUGACGGUACCCAAAGAAUAAGCACCGGCUAACUUCGUG
rnacentral:rRNA from 1 species